AAUUUAAAGAUGAUGGAAAACAAGGACUCUUAUCACGCUUCCACUACCUCUAAUGAUAGACAGAAAUGCAAUGCUUUCUCAAAGAACAGAGUGAACAGCUGAGAGUUUCCAAAGCAUGUUGGCUCACAUCCAAUGACUGAUGCGUGCAAUGCUCAGGAUGCAAUAGGUUGUUGACAUGACAGUAACAUCCUGAGAUUGUUGACUAUCUGGAAAAUGUGUCUAAAUUGCAAGGAGUUGGAGGGAAGCCAAGAUUAUUAAGAGUUAUCUUGCCCAAUCAAGGGCAGCUUUCAAGGGGAAAUGAACAGAAGGAUGUAGGAGGUAAAGGAGCACUGGUUGAGUACCCACUGAUUCAGUUCAGUUCAGUGUCUUUCUGUAAAUACUAUCUCACUAGAUCCUUUGAGGUAAGUGCCAUUCCCAUUUUCAGAUGAAAAAACCAAGACCCAUGGAGUUUACAUAAAUUUCACAAGGCCACACUGAUCCAUUAUUAAAGUCAGGGUUAAAACUUAGGCUGCAAAGCUCUAAAACCUGGCUCCUUCUUCUCCACUGCAGUGUUUUCCAGCUCUCUCAAUUCCCUUUGUGUAUGAAGGCCCAGCCAGGGAGAGCCUCCAGGGAGGGCCUAUGUAAUUAGGACAUGGGAGUGGAGAUCUGGAACUUCUUGCUCAUAAAACCUCCUGGAUCUUGGCCUAAUCAAAAACUAACCACCAAUACACCUUUUAGGCCAACUCAACACUUUCCUACUUAGAAUCCCUAUUUUUUCUAAAAUGACAUUUCUCUGAGAAAUACACUUAACUAGGUGAAAGGUGCAUGUCUAGGCCUUUUCCCCUUUGCUUUCAGCAUAUGAUAACCUUUCUGGUCAUGUCCAGUCUCCUUGGUCCUUGUCCUCAUCACAGAGCAAGCACAUGUUUACGCAACCUUUAUACCACAUGGCUCUGAGCAGCACAUGCUCUGAUCUGGACCAGGCCCAUCUGGACGAGGGGGGAUGGCCUUCCACUGACCCUUCCAGGAAACACCUGUCCUCCCCAGGUUUCCCCGGGGCCCAUGCUCGUGGUAGCAGUGCGAGGACCGGGGCAGAGUGGGCUGAAGCUUACUCCUCCACAGGAAGUCCAGAACUGGUUCCACUAACUUCUCCAGGAUGAACCUGGAGAAGCCCGAAUGUCUUUGUUCACUCUUAAAUCCUCCCAAGUCCUUCCUUCUAUCGUUUCAAGGCUUGGCUACACAUACUUGCGACACAAAUUUAACACUCAGGAGAAAAACAAGCAACAAGUUAAGGCAUGUAAGACACAAGAACCUACACUCAGAGAUAGGUGGAGGCUCCAGGCACUCCUUGUUUACUCCUUUACUCUUUCUGUCCUCGGGCUGGUUGUUCCUUAGGAUCCUGUCUUGGGCAUCUUCUCUCUUCAGUGUUCUCAUUCUCCCCAGGUAAUCUCAUUCUUCAGCAUGACAGUGAUCGCCACCUAACUUGUCGAUGACUCUGAAAUCUCUCGCCUCAAACCCCAGCAUCCACCUUUCCACUAGCCACCUCUAUCUGGAAACCACUCAGGACACAGACCGGCAGAAGCAGCUGUUGCCUAAGCACACUGGGCAAGUGUUUGCACGGGGGACUGUACAUGAAGCUGUAACUCCAGGCUGGUAACUGAUAAGAUACCAGAUGCACAACUGAUGCAUCUAAGUGAGUCAUUAUCUUCCAAAGCACUCAUCUUGAAAUCAUCGAAGGGAUUAAUAAGUGAUUAUCCUUUUGAGGUCGUUUCAAAUGCUGUCUAAAACUUGAAACUGGAUGCAAGGUUGGAACUGCGGCUCACUGAGCCUGAAGAGCACCCUCUCUGGGGGUGGGCACGAACAAUGGAAAAGAUGAAAAGAAAGGUGAUUUAGAUGUUACGACUACCCAGGGAACUGAGCAACUGUGAAGCAACUGUGCCAAGGAAGAGUGGACUAUGUAGAUGUAAAAUCCUAAUGUUACAUGACCUUUCUGUUUAACUUUCAAGUGAGCAGCACACUGCAGUAUCACUAUAGGAUCGUUGCUGUUGACCAGGAAGCUGUCUACAAGAAGACAGUCAAAUGAGAAUGGAGAAAUUACAGACACCACCGUCUUCAAUUAAAAUUUCUUCUUCCUGCUCUGAAAAUAAGUUUUCAUAUUUUAAAGGAAAAGUGCCAGAUCUGUGCUCCCUCAAUUCCAGGUACGGCAUGCCACGGACAUGCAUCAAGUCCAUCCUGGAACCCAAGGGAAAUGCUUUGCUCUCUUUCAUCUAACCAAUCAUUUAUUCAUCAACCAUCUAUUUUUAUCCUACAUACCUGUCAAGACCCAAUCUGAGAAGCUUUGCUUAAUUAUUUAAUUCUACUUAUUUCUUCCUUUCCUGAAUACCUGUAACAUAGCUAUUGGCCUCAGGCAUUCUAGCAUGUAGUGAUUCAUGCAUGACUUGGGUUGUCCUCAGGGGCAGUCACAAACACAAAUGACUCCCAAGGGCUAGGCAGAUAAUGUAAAUGAAGUCUUCUCCAUGAGUUAGCUAAUACAGCGUCCUAAGCAAGGGAGGGAACUAGAGAAUGGGUGUUCUCAGUAAGGGCAGUCACACCUUCACUCCAGUCAACCACUGCCUGGCAGUAAUGCAGGUUAAGGGUCAUAUAUCUUCUAGUUUUUUGAGAGGAGCCAGAUAUCCAGCUUUGUAUGUGAUCUUUUAAAAUGACGGUUCAAUUUUACAAAAACACUACGUAGGACAAAUAGAACAGGUGCUUCACACUGUAGGUUACAGCCUCUGACGUAAGUUUUCUCUCCAGAAGGCGAUGAGCUUCUUGAGCUCAUUGUUUCUGAAUCCCCCACAGCAGCUCAUGUAAAUAACAUGUGUAAUAAAUGCCUGACAAACGACUGUCCAACUUUGCAGAAUACCACAUUCAAGCCAAGCAAAAUCAUUGCCUCAGCUGAUGCUCUGUAGCCUAUAGGUGAUGAAAAGUCUUCCCCUAAAAUUCGUUUAUGUAUUAAAGCUUCCCACUCUGCCCCUGAAUCUGGUGGGUCUUGAUGUAUUCGUCUGAGAGGUAUAAAUAUGGUUUUAAUUUGUUCUCUGCCAUCUUUUCAUAAAAUUCUGUCUCAACCUCAACCUUCCAUUUCUCUAUAGCUACCACUAAUAGGGUAAACUCAUUACCUCUUUUCUAUCAUUUCAUUCGCUUCUCACACAUCCUUCCACAUACACCACUCCUUAGGAAUCACCCUCAAUGAUAAGGCCAACAGUGACCUCUUUUUAUUUUUAUUGGAGUAUAAUUGCUUUACAAUGUUGUGUUACUUUCUGCUGUACAACAAUGUGAAUCAACUUUAUGUAUACAUAUAUCCUUUCCCUC